rnacentral:rRNA from 1 species
GACGAACGCUGGCGGCGUGCCUAAUACAUGCAAGUUGAGCGCUGAAGGUUGGUACUUGUACCGACUGGAUGAGCAGCGAACGGGUGAGUAACGCGUGGGGAAUCUGCCUUUGAGCGGGGGACAACAUUUGGAAACGAAUGCUAAUACCGCAUAAAAACUUUAAACACAAAUUUUAAGUUUGAAAGAUGCAAUUGCAUCACUCAAAGAUGAUCCCGCGUUGUAUUAGCUAGUUGGUGAGGUAAAGGCUCACCAAGGCGAUGAUACAUAGCCGACCUGAGAGGGUGAUCGGCCACAUUGGGACUGGGACACGCCCCAAACUCCUACGGGAGGCAGCAGUAGGGAAUCUUCGGCAAUGGACGAAAGGCUGACCGAGCAACGCCGCGUGAGUGAAGAAGGUUUUCGGAUCGUAAAACUCUGUUGGUAGAGAAGAACGUUGGUGAGAGUGGAAAGCUCAUAAAGUGACGGUAACUACCCAGAAAGGGACGGCUAACUACGUG